UACGAAGGGUGCAAACGUUGCUCGGAAUUAUUGGGCGUAAAGCGCACGUAGGCGGCUUGGCAAGUCGGAUGUGAAAGCCCUCGGCUCAACCAAGGAAGUGCAUCCGAAACUGCUGAGCUUGAGUACUUAAGAGGAUCGCGGAAUUCCCGGUGUAGAGGUGAAAUGCGCAGAUAUCGGGAAGAACACCCGUGGCUAAGGCGGCUCUCUGGGACGGUACUGACGCUGAGACGCGAAAGCGUGGGGAGCGAACAGG
rnacentral:rRNA from 1 species